GAGACACAGCGGGCGUCAGCCGGUCCGGGUUCGUAAGCGGCGUCCGGCCCGGGGCGGCGCGGCUGCGGCUGCUGGUGCGCGGAGCUGCCCCGGUUCACGGAGCUGCCCCCAUCGCACCGCACGGAGCUGCUCCAUCGCACGGCGCUGCUCCAUCGCACGGAGCUGCCCCGGUUCACGGAGCUGCUCCCAUCGCACCGCACGGAGCUGCUCCCGGCGCACGGAGCUGCUUCCAUCCCAUCGCACCGUCCUGCCCCCAUUGCACGGAGCUGCCCUCCAUCGCAUCGCACAGAGCUGCCCUGCUUCACGGAGCUGCUCCAUUGCACGAAGCUGCUCCGGGCGCACGGAGCUUCCCCCAUCGCACGGAACUGCUCCGGGCGCACGGAGCUGCUCUCAUCGCAUCGCACGGAGCUACUCUCAUCGCACGGAGCUGCUGCAUCGUACGGAGCUGCUCUCAUCGCACGGAGCUGCUCCAUCGCACCGCACGGAUCUGCUUCCAUCGCACCGCACGGACCUGUCCCCAUCGCACCUAGCUGCUCCAUCGUACGGAGCUGCCCCCAUAGCAUUCCGCCCGCCACCCCUUACCACCUGGUCAGCCCUUGCAGCUGCCGGCUGAGAUCAACCCAGCCCAUCGGAUCACUUAAGUCAGGAGGUUUCAUACUUUACAGACAGGAAAGUACACGAAAAAAUAGAUUUCUGGAAGCUGUCCCUGCUGUGUACAAGAAGGAUGCCACAGAUGCUCGGUGUGUUUUGGUAUCUGCUCCAGAAAGGCAAAUGCAUGCCUCCAUGGAGAUGAUCCUGGAAAUGGGGUGCCCUGCUGCUGGUUUUGCCUGUGCAGCAGACGUGAUCUGCAUUUAUCAACGUCAGUCCUUCUUGCUGCGUCCGAGUCAUGUUUGCACUCUCAGUCUCUUAAAGUGAAUAAUGCCCAUCAAAUGCAGCUGUAACAUAAUAGAAAGCACUCUUGGGCAUCUAAUAGAGGAGUCCUGCUGCUUUGCUUCCCUCCCCUGCCAGGAGAGCUUGUUUCAUGUCUAAUAAUUGGCUCAUCUUUCAUGUAGUCAGUCCUUAAGUGUAAACUCAGCUUCUCUAUGGGAAGAUGGAAGGCCCCAUUUACUAGAGACCAGGCAAACCACUUAGAUUAAUGGGAAGUGGAAUCAUUCAUCAAUGUGAAAAUUAAAUCUUUCUCAGAGUUUGCAGUGCUGUGUAUUUUGUUUUGGUUUGUUUGGUUGAUGAUAGAUAUACAUUCUGACAAGUGCAGGCUGCUAUUUCUAAAGAAAAUUUCCUCUCUGGUUGUAACUGCAGAAGAUAUUAAUGGUGCUUCUAAACUAUGUUAUUCCCAUUUAGGGGUUUGUCUGGAAGCAAUGUACUGUACAUAUUUUACAGUGAAUAAAUAGUUGCUUAACAUUUUUUGACA
rnacentral:lncRNA from 1 species